GACAGAGGAUGCAAGCGUUAUCCGGAAUGAUUGGGCGUAAAGCGUCUGUAGGUGGCUUUUUAAGUCCGUCGUCAAAUCCCAGGGCUCAACCCUGGACAGGCGGUGGAAACUACCAAGCUGGAGUACGGUAGGGGCAGAGGGAAUUUCCGGUGGAGCGGUGAAAUGCGUAGAGAUUGGAAAGAACACCGAUGGCGAAGGCACUUUACUGGGCUAUUACUAACACUCAGAGACGAAAGCUAGGGUAGCAAAUGGG
rnacentral:rRNA from 1 species